CGGCGACGGAGCCGCCGUUCCCGAGUUCUGCCGUCGCGCCGCCGCCGCCGUGGACGCUCGAUCUGUCGCCGGCGAGAGGGAGCGGCCGGAGAGGGUGGAGGGAGGGCUCGGUCAGGGAGGGUGAAGAAAACCGGGGGCGAUGGUUGGAGCGUGGGACCCACUCCAGGUCCGGGUAUCGGAUACUCAAUUCGAUGGGCACGAGUGUCGGUGUGAUUUCUUACCUGUGGACACGUCCGUCCAAGAUCCAAAGACGUCGUGGGUAACAACUGGGUUAUAUUUUUUACCCAUGGGUAACCCGUGCCGGACCCGAUACAUAUGUAUUAGCUAAUUUAGAUCAAUAUCUUAAUUCUUAUACCCCUUUCUCUUGGUUAAUUUGUGAUGAUAAGUGAUAAUAAGUUCUGAGUAAUUCAAAUUAUUGUUGAUAACUAAUAAUUUGGUAAAUUAUUGAUUUUAUU